UAGAGUUUGAUCCUGGCUCAGGACGAACGCUGGCGGCGUGCUUAACACAUGCAAGUCGAGCGAGAACCGGGGCUUCGGCCCCGGGGGAAGCGGCGAACGGGUGCGUAACACGUGAGCAACCUGCCCCGAAGACCGGGACAAGCUGGGGAAACCUGGUCUAAUACCGGAUGCCCUCACCGGAUCGCAUGGUCCGGCGAGGAAAUGGAUUCCGCUUCGGGAUGGGCUCGCGGUCUAUCAGCUUGUUGGUAGGGUAACGGCCUACCAAGGCGACGACGCGUAGCCGGACUGAGAGGUUGGCCGGCCACAUCGGGACUGAGACACUGCCCGGACUCCUACGGGGGGCUGCAGUAACGAAUCUUCCCCAAUGCACGAAAGUGUGAGGGAGCGACGCCGCGUGUGGGACGAAGUCCUUCGGGAUGUAAACCACUGUCAGGGGAUACCAAGUUCUGAGGAUCCCCAGAGGAAGAGGCGGCUAACUCUGUGCCAGCAGCCGCGGUAGCCCAAUCGCC
rnacentral:rRNA from 1 species